UACGGAGGGUGCAAGCGUUAUUCGGAUUUACUGGGCGUAAAGGGCGCGUAGGCGGCUUGAUAAGUCAGUCGUGAAAGCCCGGGGCUCAACCCCGGAAGUGCGAUUGAAACUAUUUAGCUUGGGUAUGGUAGAGGGAAGUGGAAUUCCAGGUGUAGCGGUGAAAUGCGUAGAUAUCUGGAGGAACACCGGUGGCGAAGGCGACUUCCUGGACCAAUACUGACGCUGAUGCGCGAAGGUGUGGGUAGCAAACAGGAUUAGAUACCCUGGUAGUCCACACAGUAAACGGUGAUCACUAGGUGUUGCGGGUAUUGACCCCUGCAGUGCCGGAGCUAACGCAUUAAGUGAUCCGCCUGGGGAGUAUGCUCGCAAGGGUGAA
rnacentral:rRNA from 1 species